rnacentral:misc_RNA from 1 species
UCUACCUUAUCGUGGGGGAUAACGUAGGGAAACUUACGCUAAUACCGCAUACGACCUACGGGUGAAAGCAGGGGACCUUAGGGCCUUGUGCGAUUGGAUGAGCCGAUGUCCGAUUAGCUAGUUGGUGAGGUAAAGGCUCACCAAGGCGACGAUCGGUAGCUGGUCUGAGAGGAUGAUCAGCCACACUGGAACUGAGACACGGUCCAGACUCCUACGGGAGGCAGCAGUGGGGAAUAUUGGACAAUGGGCGCAAGCCUGAUCCAGCUAUGCCGCGUGGGUGAAGAAUGCCUUCGGGUUGUAAAGCCCUUUUGUUGGGGAAGAAAAGCAAUUGGUUAAUACCUAGUUGUUAUGACGGUACCCAAAGAAUAAGCACCGGCUAACUUCGUGCCAGCAGCCGCGGUAAUACGAAGGGUGCAAGCGUUACUCGGAAUUACUGGGCGUAAAGGGUGCGUAGGUGGUUAUUUAAGUCUGUUGUGAAAGCCCUGGGCUUAACCUGGGAAUGGCAGUGGAUACUGGAUAGCUAGAGUGUGGUAGAGGGUAGCGGAAUUCCUGGUGUACCAGUGAAAUGCGUAGAGAUCAGGAGGAACAUCC